rnacentral:precursor_RNA from 11 species
CGGAACGCGCUCCGAAGGCACUGCUCCGGCGUUAGUUUUGGGCGGGUUUUAGUGUAUUUCGAUUAGAGUAUCAAUUGAAACCGUCCAAAACUGAGGCCGGCGCGUGUUUGCCAAAAUCAUCAAAGUG